GGUGACAGAAAAACCGGUGAAACCGAGAUGACCAGUGAAACAGAGAUCUUAAGAUCUUUUCCUUAGAAAAGCCGAAAAACAUGAGCCUAUCCAAAUGAAACAUCCUACAGUUUGAUAAAUGCAGCUUCAUUAUCAGAGCUUAAUAGUCGACUGGACAAACCACUCACGCUGCAACAAUUUCGCUUGAACUUCGUGGUUAAGGAUGCCACUGCUUACGAAAAAGAUAAAUGGGAUUGGAUAAAAGAUCGGGAAUGUGAUUAUGAGAAAUGUAUGCUCUGUACAAGAUGUAUUUUGACUACGAUAGAUCCAGAAACGACAGAACCAGUACGAUCCGACAGAAACCAGUACGAAACAUUCCAAUGCAGAGCUUCCAAAGACUUUGAAAAGGUACAUAUACAUAUAUGUAUAAUGUAAUAAAUAUAUAAAAUAAAGAUUUCUUUAGUUAAUGCAGUAUGCGGCAAAAGUGUAUAAUAUAGGUGGAAAA